CGAGUCAGCCAAACGGUCGCUGAUCUCUUUUAGAGAUUGGAGGAAAGUCCGGGCUUCAUAGGGCAAAGUGCCAGAUAACGUCUGGGGGGCGCGAGCCUACGGAAAGUGCAACAGAAAAAAUACCGCCACUCUGCGAAAGCAGAAGGUAAGGGUGAAAUGGUGCGGUAAGAGCGCACCGCGCUCUUGGUAACAACGAGCGGCAAGGUAAACCCCACUUGAAGCAAGACCGAAUAGGAAUUCAAUGGCGCUGCCCGCGCUGAAUUCGGGUUGGUCGCUUGAGCGUUGUGGUGACACAACGCCCAGAUAAAUGACCGUUCUAGACAGAACCCGGCUUACGGCUGACUCAUCCU
rnacentral:RNase_P_RNA from 1 species